rnacentral:rRNA from 1 species
UACGUAGGGGGCUAGCGUUGUCCGGAAUCAUUGGGCGUAAAGCGCGUGUAGGCGGUCCGGUAAGUCCGCUGUGAAAGUCGGGGGCUCAACCCUUGGAUGCCGGUGGAUACUGUCGGGCUUGAGUACGGAAGAGGCGAGUGGAAUUCCUGGUGUAGCGGUGAAAUGCGCAGAUAUCAGGAGGAACACCAAUUGCGAAGGCAGCUCGCUGGGACGUUACUGACGCUGAGACGCGAAAGCGUGGGGAGCAAACAGG